UGGGGAAUAUUGGACAAUGGGGGCAACCCUGAUCCAGCAAUGCCGCGUGUGUGAAGAAGGUCUUCGGAUUGUAAAGCACUUUCGACGGGGACGAUGAUGACGGUACCCGUAGAAGAAGCCCCGGCUAACUUCGUGCCAGCAGCCGCGGUAAUACGAAGGGGGCUAGCGUUGCUCGGAAUGACUGGGCGUAAAGGGCGUGUAGGCGGUUUACACAGUCAGAUGUGAAAUCCCCGGGCUUAACCUGGGAGCUGCAUUUGAUACGUGUAGACUAGAGUGUGAGAGAGGGUUGUGGAAUUCCCAGUGUAGAGGUGAAAUUCGUAGAUAUUGGGAAGAACACCGGUGGCGAAGGCGGCAACCUGGCUCAUGACUGACGCUGAGGCGCGAAAGCGUGGGGAGCAAACAGGUUAGAUACCCUGGUAGUCCACGCUGUAAACGAUGUGUGCUAGAUGUUGGGUAACUUUGUUAUUCAGUGUCGCAG
rnacentral:rRNA from 1 species